rnacentral:rRNA from 1 species
UGGGGAAUUUUGGACAAUGGGCGAAAGCCUGAUCCAGCAAUGCCGCGUGUGUGAAGAAGGCCUUCGGGUUGUAAAGCACUUUUGUCCGGAAAGAAAUCCUUGGCUCUAAUACAGUCGGGGGAUGACGGUACCGGAAGAAUAAGCACCGGCUAACUACGUGCCAGCAGCCGCGGUAAUACGUAGGGUGCAAGCGUUAAUCGGAAUUACUGGGCGUAAAGCGUGCGCAGGCGGUUUGCUAAGACCGAUGUGAAAUCCCCGGGCUCAACCUGGGAACUGCAUUGGUGACUGGCAGGCUAGAGUAUGGCAGAGGGGGGUAGAAUUCCACGUGUAGCAGUGAAAUGCGUAGAGAUGUGGAGGAAUACCGAUGGCGAAGGCGAGCCCCUGGCCAAUACUGACGCUCAUGCACGAAAAGCGUGGGGGAGCAAAACAGGAUUAGAUACCCCUGGUAGUCCACGCCCUAAAACGAUGUCAACUAGUUGUUGGGGAUUCAUUUCCUUAGUAACGUAGCUAACGCGUGAAGUUGACCGCCUGGGGGAGUACGGUCG